AUGUCGGACGCGCCGGCGAGCCCGCCGGGCGGCGGCUUCGGUGGCGUCAGGGAGCAGGACAGGUUCCUGCCCAUCGCCAACAUCAGGAGCAUCAUGAAGAUGGCCAUCCUGGCCAACGGCAAGAUCACCAAGGACGACAAGGAGACCGUGUGGGAGGCGAGCGACAAGUGCCAGAGGGAGAAGUGCAAGACCAUCAACAUCGACGACCUGCUCUGGCCGAUGGCCACGCUAGGCUUUCAGGAGUACAUUGAGCCCCUCAAGGUUUAUCUACAGAAUUACAGAGGUGCAUGCCCAUUUAGCCAUGUGGGAUUUUUUAUCUGA
rnacentral:rRNA from 1 species